UUAAGCAAACCAAGUUCUUGCUUGCCACACCAGCUGCCGUCAGCUCUCACCACCCCAGCUGCUGUGCCAGUGCGUACUCUAUCAAGAUGAUUUGUGCCCUCUGAACGGAAAGGACAGGUCUCCUAUGGAUGUCAACAAAGCAUGGCAUAUCAAGUUGAGGAUUCCUGGAGCUCCGCCCAGUGCUUGGCUGUUGGUCUCUGCAUCUGCACAGAACCCCACUUUUAAAAUGAGCCUAUACAGCAGAACAGGAAAAAGGAUGAAAAGAAAUGCACAAAG